rnacentral:rRNA from 1 species
CCUACGGGUGACAGCAGUGAGGAAUAUUGGUCAAUGGACGGAAGUCUGAACCAGCCAUGCCGCGUGCAGGAAGACGGCUCUAUGAGUUGUAAACUGCUUUUGUACAAGGGUAAACCUGAAUACGUGUAUUCAGCUGAAAGUACUGUACGAAUAAGGAUCGGCUAACUCCGUGCCAGCAGCCGCGGUAAUACGGAGGAUCCAAGCGUUAUCCGGAUUUAUUGGGUUUAAAGGGUGCGGAGGCGGAUUGAUAAGUUAGAGGUGAAAUGUCCGAGCUUAACUCGGGAACUGCCUCUAAUACUGUUGGUCUAGAGAGUAGAUGCGGUAGGCGGAAUGUAUGGUGUAGCGGUGAAAUGCUUAGAGAUCAUACAGAACACCGAUUGCGAAGGCAGCUUACCAAUCUAUAUCUGACGUUGAGGCACGAAAGCGUGGGGAGCAAACAGGAUUAGAUACCCCAGUAGUC